CCUACGGGAGGCAGCAGUGAGGAAUAUUGCGCAAUGGCCGAAAGGCUGACGCAGCGACGCCGCGUGAGGGAUGAAGUCCGUUAGGAUGUAAACCUCUUUUGCAGGGGAUGAAGCUGCCGCUACAGGCGGCAGUCGACCGUACCCUGCGAAUAAGGGUCGGCUAACUACGUGCCAGCAGCCGCGGUAAUACGUAGGACCCGAGCGUUGUCCGGAUUUACUGGGUGUAAAGGGCGUGUAGGUGGGCGCUUAAGUCGAUGGUGAAAUCCUGCGGCUCAACCGUAGAAUUGCCGUCGAUACUGGGCGUCUUGAGUGCGGCAGAGGGAGAUGGAAUUCCCGGUGUAGCGGUGAAAUGCGUAGAGAUCGGGAGGAACACCGAUGGCGAAGGCAGCCGUCUGGGUCGACACUGACGCUGAGGCGCGACGGCGUGGGGAGCAAACAGGAUUAGAUACCCUGGUAGUCCACGCGGUAAACGAUGAGAACUAGACGUCAGGCGGGUUUAACUGUUUGGUGUCGGAGCUAACGCGUUAAGUUCUCCGCCUGGGGAGUACGGCCGCAAGGUUGAAACUCAAAGGAAUUGACGG
rnacentral:rRNA from 1 species